GUAGGUUAAUGUAAUUUCAGUUUACGUAUGUUCAAUUUAGGUUAAUGUAAAUUCAGUUUACUUAUGUAUAUGGUGUAGGUUAAUGUAAAUUCAGUUUACGUAUAUUCAAUUUAGUUUAAUGUAAAUUCAAUUUACGUAUGUUAAAUUUAGGUUAACGUAAAUUAAGUUUACGUAUGUUUAUAAGAGGUUAGUAUGAAUUUAGUUUAGUUAUGUUUAAUCUAGGUUAAUGUAAAUUCAGUUUAUUUAUGUUCAAUUUAAGUUAAUGUAAAUUAAUUUUACGUAUGUAUAUAAGAGAUUAGUGUGAAUUCAGUUUACGUACGUUCAAUUUAUGUUAAUGUAA
rnacentral:pre_miRNA from 1 species